GGGUUGGAAACUCUGACACCUUGUGUGAAACACCCAUUUCACACACCUAAAACACCUUUUGACACCUUUUCGACACCUUCCAAUUGUAACACCAUGAUGAUUUUUUAUUUUACUGGCGUCACUGGUCUGCCGAUGUUUAUGUUUACACUUUCAGUUUUUAUGGUCGCUGUGCGGAACGAAACAGGCAGCAAGUAAAUACCGGAUACGAGCAACAGCGCAGAAUCAAGUGAAUAAGCGGAUACAACGACCAGGCGGCAAACAAGACUGCAGAAGGAGCGAACGCUGAAAUCCUCCGCAUUGAAACCCUCAUUGGGCGACUCCGGUUCCUACAAACCGUCAUUAUCAUUCACAGCACGGUGCUGCUCUAUCGCUACCAUUGCAACCCAAAGCCGGAAUGAGGGAGGUCGAUUGCCAGAUCCUCAGCUCCGGCAACAUAGUUUUCAGAAAGAUCAUCUUUAAUGAAGAGCAGCAUAUGGAAACAAAAACACCCUGACCAGUCGCGACGACCAGCGCGGAACGGAGAUUCCGAAAAAAAGGGAUCGAGUGAAAUCCUGAAAGGGGCAACCAUGUGGAACCGGUAUGGAAUUUUUGGUACAUAGAAGCUAGGGGUGCUUAAACGAAGGACUACCGGAAGCAACAGCGAAGUGAACGAUGUCAAACUGGGCGUGAAAGUCGGAAGCGGAUUGCUUCAGUUGCCCAGUGGUAAUCUAAACGACACUUAAACUGGUUCAAAUCGGAUUCGACAAUUGUUGCCCAGGCCAUCGCCAAAAAAUCUCUUAAGCACAAGGAACAACUCCACCAACAACCCCAGUGUUCAUGGAUUUUUUUUUCCAUUGGCCAUGGUAAAAAAAAAAACCUUUGGAACAAUCGACCAUCUCGCUGAUGUCAUCCCACCGUCAUAUUAUUCAACGUACAACACUUCCUCGUCCUGAAUCGUCCGAAUCACUUCUGAAGGUAUUCGUCACUAUCAGUCAUCUCUGGACCAAGCUCG